rnacentral:rRNA from 1 species
CCUACGGGUGGCAGCAGUGAGGAAUAUUGCACAAUGGGCGCAAGCCUGAUGCAGCGACGCCGCGUGCGGGAUGGAGGCCUUCGGGUUGUUAACCGCUUUUGUUCAAGGGCCAGGCACGGUCUUUGGCCGUGUUGAGUGGAUUGUUCGAAUAAGAUCCGGCUAACUCCGUGCCAGCACACGCGGUAAAACGUAGGGUGCAAGCGUGAUCCGGAUUUAUUGGGCGUAAAGGGCUCGUAGGCGGUUCGUCGCGUCCGGUGUGAAAGUCCAUCGCUUAACGGUGGAUCCGCGCCGGGUACGGGCGGGCUUGAGUGCGGGAGGGGAGACUGGAAUUCCCGGUGUAACGGUGGAAUGUGUAGAUAUCGGGAAGAACACCAAUUGCGAAGGCAGGUCUCUGGGCCGUUACUGACGCUGAGGAGCGAAAGCGUGGGGAGCGAACAGGAUUAGAUACCCCUGUAGUC